GGAAGAUUGCCUACCACGGCUGACGACCUCCACCUGCCCGGGUUUGUUGUUCGGAGUUUGCUCUCCUAGGUGAACUGCCUCCCACGGCUAACGAGCCUCACCUGCCCGGGUUUGUUUAGAGUUUGCUCUCCUAGGUGAAUUGCCUACCACGGCUAACGACCUCCACCUGCCCGGGUUUGUUUAGAGUUUGCUCUCCUAGGUGAAUUGCCUACCACGGCUAACGACCUCCACCUGCCCGGGUUUGUUUAGAGUUUGCUCUCCUAGGUGAAUUGCCUACCACGGCUAACGACCUCCACCUGCCCGGGUUUGUUUAGAGUUUGCUCUCCUAGGUGAAUUGCCUACCACGGCUAACGACCUCCACCUGCCCGGGUUUAUUGUUCGGAGUUUGCUCUCCUAGGUGAAUUGCCUCCCACGGCUAACGACCUCCACCUGCCCGGGUUUAUUGUUCGGAGUUUGCUCUCCUAGGUGAAUUGCCUCCCACGGCUAACGACCUCCACCUGCCCGGGUUUAUUGUUCGGAGUUUGCUCUCCUAGGUGAAUUGCCUCCCACGGCUAACGACCUCCACCUGCCCGGGUUUGUAUAGAGUUUGCUCUCCUAGGUGAAUUGCCUACCACGGCUAACGAGCCUCACCUGCCCGGGUUUGUAUAGAGUUUGCUCUCCUAGGCAGAUUGCCUACCACGGC